UCUUAUGGAGGAACAAAGACAGUGGUUUCUUGAGAUGGAAUCUACUCCUUCUGAAGAUGCUGUGAA
rnacentral:pre_miRNA from 1 species